rnacentral:rRNA from 1 species
UACGUAGGGUGCAAGCGUUAUCCGGAAUUAUUGGGCGUAAAGAGCUCGUAGGCGGUUUGUCGCGUCUGCUGUGAAAACCGGAGGCUCAACCUCCGGCCUGCAGUGGGUACGGGCAAACUAGAGUGCGGUAGGGGAGAUUGGAAUUCCUGGUGUAGCGGUGGAAUGCGCAGAUAUCAGGAGGAACACCUAUAGCGAAGGCAGCUCGCUGGGACGUUACUGACGCUGAGGCGCGAAGCGUGGGGAGCGAACAGG